rnacentral:misc_RNA from 1 species
UAUGCUACACAAAUCUCUUAUAAUGCUAAUUAUGGUAACAAUAGCAUCCAUGGCCCUGGACACAAUAGCUACAACUCAAACUAUGAGAGAUAAUGAGACGAUUGUUUCAGCUGGUGGCACAUUCGAACUGGGGUUUUUCAGCCCGGGAACUUCCAAGUACCGAUAUUUAGGGGUUUGGUACAAAAAGAUAUCUUAUAAAACUAUUGUCUGGGUUGCCAAUAGAGAUACCCUACUGACCGAUUCAUGUGGAGUUCUGAAGUUUAAUGACAGAGGAAUUCCUGUUCUUCUCAAUCAGAGUAAUGCAGUCAUUUGGUCUUCUGGUACAUCAAGAGGAGUGCGUAACCCAGUCGCGCAGCUUUUGGAUUCGGGAAAUCUUGUUGUCAGAGAUGAAGAUGAUCUUAUCCCAGAAAAUUUCUUGUGGCAAAGUUUUGAUAAUCCUGUCAGUACAUUUCUACCAGGAAUGAAGAUCGGACUUGUCAAUGAAAGCCUAUAUGUGUGUUUUUCAUCAUGGAAGAGCAUAGAUGAUCCUUCUCAAGGAAACUUCACCUUUCAAAUUGAUGUCAGUAGUUUACAGAUAAUUCUCAAACAGAAUUCAGUUGUUAAGGCACGAUCGGGGCCAUGGAACGGUGUUGGGUUUAGUGGGAUACCUUUUCUGAAACCAAACCCAAUCUAUAACUAUAAGUUUGUCUUUCACCAGAAGGAGGUGUACUACAUUUAUGAGACUGUUGACAGCUCAGUUUUUACAAUGAUGGUUUUGAAUCAGGAUGGUGUCAUGGCGCGGUUUACGUGGGUUAAUCGAACUAGUAGUUGGAGUCGAUACUUAUCUGCACCAGCUGACAACUGUGAUACUUAUGCAUUAUGUGGUGCUCAUGGUAGUUGCAACAUCGGCAACUCGCCUGUGUGUGGGUGUUUGAAUGGAUUUGUGCCAAAACAGAAAAAUGAUUGGGAUAAAGCAGAUUGGUCAGGCGGAUGUGUACGGAGGACGCCAUUAGAUUGCCAGAAAGGUGAUGGGUUCAUAAAGUAUCCCAAUGUUAAAUUACCUGACAUGAAGAAUUCUUCAAUCAAUGAAGACAUGACCUUGACCUUGGAGGAAUGUGAGAUGAUAUGCUUGAAAAAUUGUUCUUGCAUGGCUUAUGCCAAUUCAAAUAUAAGUGGAAGAGGAAGCGGUUGCUUUUUUUGGUUCGGUGAACUUAUUGACAUCAGACAGUACGAGGAGGAAGGGCAAGAUCUUUACAUAAGGGUGGCUUCUUCUGAAAUAGGUAAAUAUACACCCAAGAGAAUUCUCUUAAUCAAACAACAACUUAUAUAUUUACUAGUGACAUCACACUCACCACACUGUACUAUGCUAAAUAGAAUAGUUUUUCCAUCUCAUAUUCUCCUCUAGAUAUAACUAAACUAUCUAUUAUUACAACUUCACAUCACACUUGUUAUUUUAGGUGACAUGAAUUUUGGAUAUAUCUUCAUGGACUCAAAUUCUGACCAGACUUAAAAAUUUCGCGCUCUGACUCAAUUUGAAUAAAAAGUGAGGUCUCUGAUGAAACAAAG